GUAAAACACAUGGUGUGUAAGGAGUGGUUGAGAAAAUAGGGUAACAUGGAACUAGUGUGAAUGGGCGAUCGAUGGUCAG